GGGUAUAGGGGCGAAAGACUAAUCGAACCAUCUAGUAGCUGGUUCCCUCCGAAGUUUCCCUCAGGAUAGCUGGCGCUCGCGUGAGCGAGUCUCAUCUGGUAAAGCGAAUGAUUAGAGGCAUUGGGGUCGAAACGGCCUCAACCUAUUCUCAAACUUUAAAUGGGUGAGAUCUCCGGCUUGCUUGAACAGUGAAGCCGCGAGAUCGGAUCAGAGUGCCAAGUGGGCCAAUUUUGGUAAGCAGAACUGGCGCUGUGGGAUGAACCAAACGCAGAGUUAAAGCGCCCAAAUCGACGCUAAU
rnacentral:rRNA from 1 species